CAGCAGCCGCGGGAAUACGAAGGGGGCUAGCGUUGCUCGGAAUGACUGGGCGUAAAGGGCGCGUAGGCGGCGGCCAAAGUCAGGCGUGAAAUUCCCGGGCUCAACCUGGGGGCUGCGUUUGAUACUUGGUUGCUUGAGUGGGGAAGAGGGUCGUGGAAUUCCCAGUGUAGAGGUGAAAUUCGUAGAUAUUGGGAAGAACACCGGUGGCGAAGGCGGCGACCUGGUCCUUGACUGACGCUGAGGCGCGAAAGCGUGGGGAGCAAACAGGAUUAGAUACCCCAGUAGUCCCUGUCUCUUAUAC
rnacentral:rRNA from 1 species